rnacentral:rRNA from 1 species
GAUGAACGCUAGCGAUAGGCUUAACACAUGCAAGUCGAGGGCAGCACAAGGUAGCUUGCUAUCUGGGUGGCGACCGGCGCCCGGGUGCGUAACGCGUAUGCAACUUGCCCUAUACAGGAGGAUAACCCGUCGAAAGACGGACUAAUACUGCGUAUGCUCACAACUUGGCAUCAAGUGGUGAGGAAAGAAAUUCGGUAUAGGAUAGGCAUGCGUCCCAUUAGCUUGUUGGUGAGGUAACGGCUCACCAAGGCAACGAUGGGUAGGGGAACUGAGAGGUUUAUCCCCCACACUGGUACUGAGACACGGACCAGACUCCUACGGGAGGCAGCAGUGAGGAAUAUUGGUCAAUGGGCGCGAGCCUGAACCAGCCAAGUCGCGUGAAGGAUGACUGUCUUAUGGAUUGUAAACUUCUUUUAUACGGGAAUAACAAGAGUCACGUGUGACUCCCUGCAUGUACCGUAUGAAUAAGCAUCGGCUAACUCCGUG